ACAGAUCUUUCAAAACAAUACAAACUAUUGUAUAACGGCAAAGAUCUCAGAAAAUAUGUCACAAACGAAAAACCGAUUACUUUUUUCUGUCAGAUGUAUAUGAAGGAUUCACAAAAUGGUUUUAUUAAAAAAUUGUUUACUACUGCUUGAAUUCAAAUAAAUAUUUUGUUUACUCAUUUGAAAAUACAUAUAAAUUAAGCUGUGUCAUACAAUUACAUAUUAUAUUAUAUCAUAUUAUUAUAAAUCGUAUUAUAAAUAUAUACUAUGCUCUAAUAAUUCAUAUUAAAAUAAAUUCAAUGUAUUUGACAAAAAA